rnacentral:lncRNA from 1 species
UCGGCACCCCUGCCGAGCCGAUUGCCUUGACCAGAUGUUCAACCCCUGCCUAACCCCCUGAGAGACUUGACAACUCCACUACAACCUGCCGCUAUCUCCAAGCCGUCAAGGCAUAGGAUCCCCGCAGGUAUUUAGCACGACCUGCCAUUAAUGCAUGAGACCCUCUCAAGUCUUUGAUGCGCUCAGUCAUUUAAUGAACACGGCUCAAGACGAUCUCCGGAUCACUGAACCAUCAAAGCGUAUGGCUCUCCCUGACCGCCGGUUCAUUCGGUAAUAAAUGCGCUUACCAUCCAUGGACCCCGGGCCUACCACGGCCGGCGGUUCAACCACUCCAACAGGUCCGAUCGACCGUGACAACUCCCUGGUUCCGGUCUGAGUCGGCCUUAUUUUCCACUAUGCCAUUAAUGGGCCAAAUCGUGCCCAAUUAUUACAAAAGAGGACAAACUCCCUGUCACCUCCCGGGCAACAUAAAAUCCCUCUAUAAAAGGGAGCCUGG